AAACGGACUGAGUGAGUAGUGAUCGCAAGACAGUACAGAAAACCUGUAGUGAUGAGAGCAGGGUUGUGAGUGAUCAUGAACAUGGCUUAGUGCACACGGCACACCGAGCAUUUUUGCAAGGCUGUGAUGGUUGGCGCCCAUUAUCGUGCUCCCGGAUGAAUACGUCCGGUGAGUGGGUCGCGUUUUUCGUGGCCAAUUAGAAUGGUACCGUGGGCCAAAGCUCACUUCUAAC
rnacentral:ncRNA from 1 species